rnacentral:rRNA from 1 species
AUCUAAAAUCUAUUAAAAGAACAAUAAAACAUAAUAAAUCAAGUUUUAAAAAUAUAAAGAAAAAACCGAAAGGGUAAUUACUAAACAAAAAAAGUAAAAAUAAAAAUUUGUACCUUGUGUAUCAUGGACUAUUAAAUAAAAAUAUAAAUUAUAAAUACCCGAAAGUGAAUGAGCUAUAAUAAUUCAAUUAAGAAUCCAUAAAAAAUGUUGCAAAAUUUUUAAAAGAAAUUAUUAUAGAAAUAAAAUGUUUACGCAUUCACUGAUAUCUGGUUACAAAAAUGCAUAUAGUGCAAUUUUUAAUUAAAAGUAAUAACCUUGGGAUAAGCUAAGGUUAAAUAGAUUUAUUAAAAACAAAAUAAGAAAAUUUUUUUAGGCUUAAAAAUAGCCUUAAACAAAAAUUGUAAUAAUAAAAAUCUUAUAAUGUAUAUAAUUAUAUAUAUAAUAAUCUAAAAAAAAUAAAUAAACCUACUAUUUAUUAAUAAAAUGAUAGUACUAGUAGUUUAAAAAUAAUAACUAUCUGACCCAAACAAUAAAAUAUAAAGGAACUCGGCAAAACUAAGCAACGACUGUUUAACAAAAACAUAGCUUCUUGAAACCAUAAGAAGUACCACCUGCCCAGUGUAUUAUAAACGGCCGCGAAAGUGCUAAGGUAGCAUAAUAAUUUGUCUUUUCAUUGAAGACUAGUAUGAAAGGUAUAACGAAGCUUAACUGUCUCCUUAUUUUAAAACAAAACUAAUUUAAAAGUGAAAAAGCUUUUAUUUUUAAGAAGGACGAGAAGACCCUAUAGAGUUUUAGUAAAAAUUAAUAUUUUAUUAGUUAUACUUUUAUUGGGGCAAUACAAGAAAAAUAAAAAUCUUUAUAUUUAUAAACCCUCAAAGAGAACAAAAAAAACUACCUUAGGGAUAACAGCGUAAUCUUACCAGAGAGUCCUAAUUGAAGGUAAGGAUUGCGACCUCGAUGUUGGACUAAGGAAACUUUUAUAUGUAGAAGUAUAAAGUAGUAAGCCUGUUCGGCUUUUAAACCCUUACAUGAUCUGAGUUCAGGUCGGCGUGAGCUAGUCCGGUUUCUAUCCUCUUAAAACUAAUAUAAUACUUUUUAUUACGAAAGGAACAAAAGAAAAUAUAAUAUAUAA